UAGAGUUUGAUCAUGGCUCAGAUUGAACGCUGGCGGCAGGCCUAACACAUGCAAGUCGAGCGGAAACGAUGGAAGCUUGCUUCCAGGCGUCGAGCGGCGGACGGGUGAGUAAUGCAUGGGAAUCUGCCCGAUAGUGGGGGAUAACCUGGGGAAACCCAGGCUAAUACCGCAUACGUCCUACGGGAGAAAGCAGGGGAUCUUCGGACCUUGCGCUAUCGGAUGAGCCCAUGUCGGAUUAGCUUGUUGGUGAGGUAAUGGCUCACCAAGGCGACGAUCCGUAGCUGGUCUGAGAGGAUGAUCAGCCACAUCGGGACUGAGACACGGCCCGAACUCCUACGGGAGGCAGCAGUGGGGAAUAUUG
rnacentral:rRNA from 1 species